UACGUAGGGGGCAAGCGUUGUCCGGAUUUAUUGGGCGUAAAGAGCGUGUAGGCGGCUGGGUAGGUCCGUUGUGAAAACUCGAGGCUCAACCUCGAGACGGCGAUGGAAACCCCCCAGCUAGAGUCCGGAAGAGGAGAGUGGAAUUCCUGGUGUAGCGGUGAAAUGCGCAGAUAUCAGGAAGAACACCCGUGGCGAAGGCGGCUCGUUGCACGAACACUGACGCUGAGGCUCGAAAGCGUGGGGAGCAAACAGG
rnacentral:rRNA from 1 species